AAUAAAUAAUACAUUUUUAUAUUAAAAAUUACAAUAUUAAAAAGUAUGAAAAAAAAAAAUAUCUAUUACAGUAAAUUAUUUAAUACGAAAAAUUGCAUUUCUUUUCCUUACCUAGUAACUCUUCUCUAAACACUUUAUUUUCAAUGUCAAAGAAUCGUACGAAAAUUGACAUUUGUUCAGAAUCAACUAAGUCACAAGAUUCAUCAAGCGCAAUGCAGUAGCACGGUGACUUAUGCAAAAGUUCAAAUAAGCUUUUUUUGUUUUCGGCUGCCAACAUUUCCGUCCUUCUUGUGUUACUCCUUGCCGACAAAGGAAUAUCUUGGAUAGAGGGUCCAGAGUUUUGCCUUCCGCGGUCCGGAUCCGGACCGCGGUCCGCCAGUUGCCGAUCCCUGGUCUAGACGGAACACGGCGGUGUAUAUUAUAAUGGAAUGUCGCCUUAAAAUAACUGGUAAUGGGGGAAGUCCAGUAGCCCGGACCCCCCCCCCCACCCGAAAUUUUUAAAAGUAGAACAAGAGUUUUUGUAUUUUGAAUGUAAAAUCAUAAGUGUCCAGUAUCCAUAUUAAAAGAAUAUUUGACCCCCCGAAA